UGGGGAAUAUUGCACAAUGGAGGGAACUCUGAUGCAGCGACGCCGCGUGAACGAAGAAGGCUUUCGCGUCGUAAAGUUCUUUUAUAUGGGAAGAUAAUGACGGUACCAUAAGAAGAAGCCCCGGCUAACUACGUGCCAGCAGCCGCGGUAAUACGUAGGGGGCUAGCGUUGUCCGGAAUCACUGGGCGUAAAGGGUUCGCAGGCGGAAAUGCAAGUCAGGUGUAAAAGGCAGUAGCUUAACUACUGUAAGCAUUUGAAACUGCAUAUCUUGAGAAGAGUAGAGGUAAGUGGAAUUUUUAGUGUAGCGGUGAAAUGCGUAGAUAUUAAAGAGAAUACCGGUGGCGAAGGCGACUUACUGGGCUCAUUCUGACGCUGAGGAACGAAAGCGUGGGUAGCAAACAGG
rnacentral:rRNA from 1 species